AAAAAAAAAAAAAAAAAAAAAAAAAAAAAAAAAAAAAAAAAAAAAAAAAAAAAAAAAGGUUUUGAGUUAGGUUAGGUUUUGAGUUAGGUUAGGUUUUGAGUUAGGUUAGGUUUUGAGUUAGGUUAGGUUUUGAGUUAGGUUAGGUUUUGAGUUAGGUUAGGUUUUGAGUUAGGUUAGGUUUUGAGUUAGGUUAGAGUUGGGGCGCUAGGUCGGGUAACCUCCACGAGGGUCUGGGCCAUUCCAAUCUCUGUUAAUCCUUGCGGAUUCGCAGUCAAGGGAAUGGUUCAUGGCUGGUGCGCCCUGGGGGCAACGGUAAGUGAUCUCCUGCGUGGGAUUGCUUACCGGUGUUGCCAAUAACCCGACACCCGGGGUUAACCCGGGGGGG